UGGGGAAUAUUGCACAAUGGGCGCAAGCCUGAUGCAGCCAUGCCGCGUGUGUGAAGAAGGCCUUCGGGUUGUAAAGCACUUUCAGUUGUGAGGAAAGGUUAGUAGUUAAUACCUGCUAGCUGUGACGUUAGCAACAGAAGAAGCACCGGCUAACUCCGUGCCAGCAGCCGCGGUAAUACGGAGGGUGCGAGCGUUAAUCGGAAUUACUGGGCGUAAAGCGUACGCAGGCGGUUUGUUAAGCGAGAUGUGAAAGCCCCGGGCUCAACCUGGGAACUGCAUUUCGAACUGGCAAGCUAGAGUGUGAUAGAGGGUGGUAGAAUUUCAGGUGUAGCGGUGAAAUGCGUAGAGAUCUGAAGGAAUACCGAUGGCGAAGGCAGCCACCUGGGUCAACACUGACGCUCAUGUACGAAAGCGUGGGGAGCAAACGGGAUUAGAUACCCGUGUAGUCC
rnacentral:rRNA from 1 species